rnacentral:rRNA from 1 species
GCUUACGGCCACACCGCCUGGUUCAUGCCCGAUCUCGUUUGAUCUCGGAAGCUAAGAUAGGGUGGGCCUGGUUAGUACUUGGAUGGGGAGACCGCCUGGGAAUACCAGGUGUUGUAAGAU